UCUGAGCUCAAAGUCAUUCUUGCUGAAGAAGCCCAUUCAGAAUCUGACAGGGUCUGUUGGAUUUGCUGGGGAGCCAAGGGAUGGAUACUCUCCCGAAAGUGCUUUUAGGUGCUCUGUUGUGGCGAUUGGCUUGUGUGAGAAGCCAAGAAGUGCAGCAGAGUCCUCAGUCCUUGAUCAUUCAAGAGGGGGAAGAGGUUACCAUCGAGUGUAAAUCCUCUCAGCCUUCGUAUUCCCUGCACUGGUACUGGCAGAAGCAAGGUGAAGGUCCCAUCUUCUUGAUGAUAUUAAGAAAAACUGGAGAAGAGAGUCAUGACAAAAUAACUGCCACAUUGGAUGAAAAAAAGCAGCAGAGCUCCCUGUACAUCACAGCCUCCCAGCCCAGUCACUCAGGCACCUACUUCUGUGCAGUAGCAGCACAGUGAUGCUCAGGCCUCCGAAGGCUGUACUCAAACCUGAAGCUGGGCCACAGAUGCUUUCUUAGCACAGGGCACCCUUAGGGCACUUACCAGAAGGCUCACCUAUGAAAAAAGAGAAAUCU